UGUGCCUUUUUGUUCUCACCCCUCAGUC
rnacentral:piRNA from 1 species